GAGAUUGACUAGACAUAGUGCCACUGUCAUCCCUGCUGGAGAAGGUCCGAAGCACCUCCACCUCUGUGCUUCCAGAGGGGCACUGUGGUGGCCACUUAAAAUGCUCAGGCUAUACCAUGCACUAGAGCAUCUACCUGGGCAAGGGAUAUGCUGUAUGACACUCUCCUGAUGCUGGGCAUGGCUGUGAGCCAAAGCACCCAGGCAGCCCUGCCAUCAGAAGGGUAAACCACGGACACCUGAUGCCUUCCUGAAGGAAGAGCACUACGCCUGCCAAACCAUCAAGCGUUGAUGCUCCAGCGCCUUCUACCCGUGGUUCUCCAGCCUCAGCAGAAGAGAGAGAAAUUGAUGACCCUGUCGUUGUAGCAUCCCCAUCACCCAGCAAUUAAUUUUAGUUCAAUGCUUCAAACGCUCUUCAGGCGCAGUGUGCGUUCAGCUGUGUCAGCUAAUGGCACUGGAGACACAGAAAUGAAAGAGACAACGUGCCCUCAAGGAUCUCACAGUGUGUGGUGAGGUGGACACACACACACAUAUCUAAGCAC
rnacentral:lncRNA from 10 species